AUUGAACGCUGGCGGCAUGCCUUACACAUGCAAGUCGAACGGUAACGCGGGGCAACCUGGCGACGAGUGGCGAACGGGUGAGUAAUGUAUCGGAACGUGCCCAGUUGUGGGGGAUAACUGCUCGAAAGAGCAGCUAAUACCGCAUACGACCUGAGGGUGAAAGCGGGGGAUCGCAAGACCUCGCGCAAUUGGAGCGGCCGAUAUCAGAAUUAGGUAGUUGGUGGGUAAAGGCCCACCAAGCCAACGAUCUGUAGCUGGUCUGAGAGGACGACCAGCCACACUGGGACUGAGACACGGCCCAGACUCCUACGGGAGGCAGCAGUGGGGAAUUUUGGACAAUGGACGCAAGUCUGAUCCAGCCAUGCCGCGUGCGGGAAGAAGGCCUUCGGGUUGUAAACCGCUUUUGUCAGGGAAGAAACGCUCUGGGUUAAUACCUCGGGGUAAUGACGGUACCUGAAGAAUAAGCACCGGCUAACUACGUGCCAGCAGCCGCCGUAAUAC
rnacentral:rRNA from 1 species